AUACGGAGGAUCCGAGCGUUAUCCGGAUUUAUUGGGUUUAAAGGGUGCGCAGGCGGGAGAUUAAGUCGGCGGUGAAAUUUUUCAGCUCAACUGUAAAAGUGCCUUCGAAACUGGUUUCCUUGAGUGUAGAUGAAGGAGGCGGAAUUUGUGGUGUAGCGGUGAAAUGCAUAGAUAUCACGAGGAACUCCGAUUGCGCAGGCAGCUUACUAAACUACUACUGACGCUCAGGCACGAAGGCGUGGGGAUCAAACAGGAUUAGAUACCCUGGUAGUCCGCACGGUAAACGAUGAUUACCCGCUGUCGGCGGUAGACAGUCGGCGGCCAAGCGAAAGCGAUAAGUAAUCCACCUGGGGAGUACGCCGGCAACGGUGAAACUCAAAUGAAUUGACGGGG
rnacentral:rRNA from 1 species